AAAAAAAAAAUAGCAAAAGCUCUCUCAGGCCAGUCUUGCCAAGCCCUGAUCCAGAGCAAACCCUCUAAGCACACUCUUCUGUCUGGGACUCCCCAUCCAGCCCUGAUCCACUAGCUACAGCUCAAGCUGUCCUCUUGAAGAUUCCAGGGGCUUCCUCAAUAGAGAUACAGCUGCCCAAGCCUGCACCUGUCAGGUGGCACUUCUCUUUAUCAGAGGGCAGCCAUGGAAAAGCCCAUGCCCACAGGGUCAUGUCCUCAUCCUUGGCUAUAUGCCGUGCCAGCAGCACCCAGCCCAGCUUCUCAGUUCUCCUGGAACUGUUAAUGUGUGCAUGCUGUAAAGUAAGUGAAGAGUUUUCAAGCUUAUCUUUUCCUCUGCUCAUCCCCUCAGGGCAUCUGAUCCAGAGCAGAGCAGGUGACUUCUCAGUCACUGCUUCCAAAGUCAACUGUACUAAAGGGCACACUUGCUUAUGGAGGAGUGCCUGGCAGUGUCCACAGGGCUGCAGAACGCACCUUUCACCCAGCAGCUUCUCUUAGGGACUCCCUUCUGCAGGUGUCCUUGUACCAUGUGAAGGGAUGUACUUCCAAGUUAACAACGGCAUCACUGUUUGUAAGGGUGAAAGCAGGAGUCAACCCAAGUAUUUAGAAAAGGGGACAGGCCAAAUGAAAUGGAACACUACACAGCUAUAAGAAGAAUGAGGAGCUUCCCUGUGUAAAAGUGGUGGUUUGAAUAAGGAUGGCCCUCAUGGGCUCAUACAUUUGAAUGCUUGAGGAGCAGCACUAUUUGAAAUGAUUAGGAGGUGUGGCCUUGUUGGAGGAAGUGUGUCACUGGGGGUGGGCUCUGAGGUUUCAAAAGCCCAUGGUAGGCCCAGAGUCAGUAUGUAGCUCUCAGCUACUGCUCCAGUGCCUGCCUGUGUGCUGCCCAGCUCUCUGCUAUAAUGAUAACAAUGGACUAAAUCUUUGAAACUGUAAGCCAGCCCCCAAUUAGAUGCCCUCUUUUAUAGGAGCUGCCUUAGUCAUGGUGUCUCUUCAUAGCAACAGAUCAGUGACUAAGACAGAAGUUGGUACCAGGAGUGGGGUACUGCUGUGACAGGCCUGACCAUGCUGCUUGUUGGCUGAAUGUGGACUUUGGGACUCUGGAUUAGGAAAACAGUUGAAUGCUGUAAGUAGGGCCUAAUGGGACAUAUUAGUAGGAGCAUAGAAGACAGUGGUGCUGAGAGCAAUGUAGAUUGUGAUGGCCUGGUUCGUGAGGAUUCAUAAGGAAGAAUAUUAGUAAGUGGCCUAGAGACUAUUCUUGUGAUAUUGUGGCUGCUUUUUGUGCACAUCCUAAAAAUCUGCCUGAAGCUAAAUUAAGAGUUUUGUUAAUGGUAUUGGCAGAGGAGAUUUCAAGAGAGCUUAAUAUUAACUGUGCCAUGUGGUUAUUAAUAAUCACUCUUAUGCAGAUCUAUGAUGAAAAGGAGUAAGCUAGACAAAGAGAAAUAUAAAAUGUACAGUUUGAGUAUAAGAGGAGCACAGGAAGUAUAAUGGAGCUAAGUCCUGUGCUCAAGGAGAUAAAAAGUUUAAAGAAUAAAGGGAGUGGUGACCUCAGGGCAAGACCCCACCCAGCUAAGCUUCCAACUUGUAAAGAGGAAUUAAAGGAAAGCUUCAGCAGUGAUGGAAGCCACCAACUACAGAAAGCCAUUGCAGAUGUAACUGAAGGAGGGGGUCAAGUUCCAGCCCCAACAAGCAAGCAGAGCUUGGCAGCUCUGGCCAUCUGUUCUGGCUUUAGAGUCAAGGAUACAAGAAAGGGGCUGUGGAAUCUCCUUCCACAGCUAAGAAAAGUCACUGAGGCCAGGCAUGUGUCAAGGGUGUCCCUGCAUAGGGACCCAGAGAGGCCAUUGCAUAAAGCUGUGAAGGUGAAGUCUAGAUUGUGUUGGAGACCCCAAGAUGUUGGAGAUGCCAGGGAUACCUGCUGAGGAGAGCUGCUAACAGGGAGUGGACCCAGUCCACGAAAGAAAAGUAUGUUACAGUCAACAAAGCUGAAUGGAGUUAGAGAUCUGAAGAGCGCUUUGACAUCAGACAUGAGAUGCAGAAUUUGGAGUUUGCCCAGCUGGUUUAGCAAGCUAAACCAUGUACAGAACUCACUUCCUGCCCACAGGCUCUAGUGCUUCCUCCGUACCACACUGGAAACCAGCUUAUCCUCAGCUUCUCCCAGAGCCGAUGAUACUCCACUGUGGGAACACACUUCAGUGCCUCCUCAAGAAAGAAAAACAGCUACCAUCUCUGACUCCCCACUAGAGCGGCCACCAGCCUGGGGAAAUAGUGUGCACACCAACUGUACUUGUUUAGCAAACAUUUGUGAACCGGUGACCUGUGCCCACUACUAUCUAUAUUUGGAGGCUAGAAAGGACCUUGGAAAGAUGCUGGUUCAACUCCAUUCUAGAGAUGAGGAAAUAGCUGGCCAGCAAGCAGAAGUGACUUUCUGAAAGCUUCUAAUCUGAAGAUGUGACUUGGCUUUGCUGACGCAGGACAUCCAGAUUCAGAAAAUAAACAAAAGCCUCGCUGCCUGUGUGGCCCCUUCUGGCACCCAAACACCACAGCUGGUCCUUGGGCAGGGAACGCCAAAGGCCAGGAAACACACAGCUGUGGUGGAUGGCUCCCACAGAGCCCCCUGGACUGCCUCCCAGAGUUACUGAAUGGAGAAAGUGCACCCGCCAUCAACUGGACAGACACUGAAGACCUCAUGAUGGCCCACUGAGGUCUAAGGAGGAGAAUGGAGACUGAGGGGACAUGCUGAUACGGAGGACAGGCUUGGCAGUUGGAUUCUGUUCUGGGAAUUCCCUGACAAGUGGCAGACACCAGAUGGCUGAGAGCCCUCCAGGAAGCCGAGGAGUCCGAACUCCGCUCAACAGAUGACAGGGCCACCCUCAAGGAGAGAUCAUCCAAACCCUGCUUUGUGCGCUCGAGUGAUGUGUCUGGCAGCAUCCGUCACAGAUACUCAGCUCUGGGGACCUCACCGACCUCAUCCGACUUCCAGCUCAAUGAAAACUAUCACUUUGUAUGAGAACAGUGAUGUGGUCCUGAGUCCCAGGCUUCAGUGUCCCUGUUGGGUGAUGGGAAGUUUGCCUGUUGCCAUGAGGAGCUUGAGCUGUUCAGAGCUUUUGACCUCCCACACUGGCUGUUGUGAAUCCUGUUCUCUUCCUCCCUGGCAUGUAUCAUGAUAUUAACGGUGUACAUGUUCAUACAGUGAUGUGGUCAUGAUAUUAACUGUGUAUGUGUUCAUGCAGUGAUGCGGUCAUAUUAACUGUGUAUGUGUUCAUGCAGUGACACAGUCAUGAUAUUAACGGUGUAUGUGUUCAUGAGUGAUGCAGUCAUAUUAACGGUAUAUGUGUUCAUGAAGUGAUGUGGUCAUGAUAUUAACGGUAUAUGUGUUCAUGCAGUGACACAGUCAUAUUAACGGUAUAUGUGUUCAUGCAGUGAUGUGGUCAUGAUAUUAAUGCUAUACGUGUUCAUGCAGUGAUGAGACAUGGUAUUAAUGGUAUAUGUGUUCAUGCAGUGACGCAGUCACUGUCUUCCUUACUGGACUCUAAGUCCCUUUGCAAGUGGCCAGCACUCUGCAUAAAGCCCUGCUGCUGGGGACAUGGGGUCCCAGCUCACUGGCAAGAGCUGUUCCUAAGCCUCUCUGCAGGGAGGCAAGCACUUCUGCAGCCCCUCCCUCUGCUCCAAGUGUCACCUGGCCCCCUCCAGGUCACUAGAACCCAUACUAGUCACGAAGAGCAAGAAGGGGAGGGAAUGAGGGCUUUUAUUCAUUUAUUUACAGUUGCCUGGCUUCAAAAUUCUUAAGAAGAGCUUUUAUUAUAACAGGAGAAAAAUUAGUAUAUUACAAAAGAACCCCCUUCCCUGCCUCCCCAGGACAGGGUUUCUCUGUGUAGCUGGCUGUCCUGGAACUCACUUUGUAGACCAGGCUGGCCUUGAACUUACGGAGAUCUGCCUGCCUCUGCCUCCCGAGUGCUGGGGUUAAAGGCGUGCGCCACCACCACCUGGCACAAAAGAACCUUUUGAAAGUAGCAUUUUGAAGCCAAAUCCCAGCACAGAGGAGGUAGAGGCAGGCAGAUCUCUGUGAGGCCAGUCUGGUCGACAGAGUGGCCCUGUCUAUCCAAGAAGGACAGUCUUAACCAAACUGCCUAUUAGAACUUUCUGGAGCCCUUCCAAAAACACUGAUGUUGGGGCUCUAAAAUGCUCAGACGGGUAGCAUGCCUGUUGUUUAAGCUUGCGGAUCUGAGUUCAAUGCCAAGCAAUGUAAAAACCCAGACACGUGGUGCUUGUGAUCCCAGCACUGAGGAGACAGAGAUGGGAGGAUCCUUGGGAUCACCAAUGAGCCAGCCUAGCCUGACAGGUAAGCUCCAGGUCCCAGUGAGGAAAGGAAGAGAAGGAAAAAGGAAAGGAAAGGAAAGCAAGGUGGAUGCUUCCUGUGAACAACACCUGAGGCUGGCCUCUGGCAUACACACGCACGCACGCACGCAUGCACGCACGCACACCCCAUACUCUUUCCCGAUGCCUAGAUACACCCCUGCAGUUAACCAGACUAGCCAGGGGUAGGGUUUUGGCAGUAGUGUUUGCCAAACGUCCUCAAAGCCCCCAGAGUGCAGCAGGUGAGAAUCUCUGAACCCCAUGUUCCUCUGAGGGGAAGGUGCUCGGACUCCUCUUAGGACUGCGACCCCACGGCUCAGCUUUCUCUCUGCAAUAAGUCUCAGAGUGAUGGCUGCACCCUUGUUUCCUCUCUAGACACACAUGAGAAUGAGGAACGUGAAGGACCAGGAAGGAUUAUAGCUCUCAUUCCCAAAGAAUUGUCCCAUGAAAGCGAUCUUGCCAGUUGGCUCUAUGUGGCUUUUUCUUUCAUACUGUUUUUAGAAUGUCAGGAUUUAUGGUUAUGAGUGAUUUGUACUGACCCAAGGGAGAUCAUUGAGGAAUUAAUCUAAUUAAACAAAGACAAGGAAUAAAUGGAAACUGGGUUCUAGCAAAAUGACUUCUUGUUUUCCUGGCAGUGAUCACUUCCAUUUGAAACAAGUACAGAUGUUUUUGGACAAUUCCUUAUGCUUUUGAAAAACAGCUUCUCCCCCGUUCCUCGCAGCCUGGAUGGACUUCACUGAAGGGUGAUAAAACCACUCAGGGGCAUGGGAGAGGCCAUGUUAUCCUGGCACAGCCUUCUGCCUGCUCUGUCUGGUGAUCCCAGCUACAGCUUCUGACUUUAGUUAAGUAUCGUCUCUUCCAGAAGCCUGCUCAGAGACUUCUUCCUCUGGGUCCUGCAGCCAUCACCGCUUACCCCUGGUGCUGGAAAGGCUGGCCACCCGUCUGCCUGACACAGUGGAGCACAAACUGGCCUGUGCCAUCCGAUUCCUCAGAGCCUUCUGUACUGUCCCUGUGCGUGUUUCAUAAAUGCUCGUGGCUGAAGGAACAGUGACAAAGGUCCAUAUGCCCUGCCUUCAACAGUGAUGUUUCUAAGUUCCCAAAGCCCUUUCCCCUAAUAGAAAUGACAUCCUGGGAAGGUGAGAGACAUUAAAAACAAAAUUCUCCAUAUCUCUAUGCGUCUCCCCAUUCUCAGCAAAACACACUCCUGUCCCCAAGGACAAGAACAUGUAGGCACCAGUCUCUAGUUUCAGAUACCAGAAAAGCUGUCAUCAUGGGGAGGGAAUCUGUGUCUAGCUGUCUGCUACUCACCUUGUACCCAUUAUAGUGCUUGACACAUUGGAGUUGCUCAACACGUACUUGUUGGAUAGAUAAAUAAACCCACAUCGGUGUCACACAAACACAGACUUGUUGGGUGUUUCUAAUUAAUUCUUCUUACCUGGGCUGUAAGCUCAGUGAGGGACUGAACCAACACUCAGAAGUGUGGGCGUUCCUGUGGUGUUUGGAUCAAACCAUGAAUUUGGUCUUUAAUUUCCCUUUCAGAUUAGCAGAGGAUGGUCACAGAAACUUGGAAGUCAUGGGUGUUCCUCCCUCUUCUGUGCCCUUCAGAUCCAACCAACUCUUUAGUACUUGCGGUGUUUGAAAGAAAAUGGCCUCCAUAAGGAGUGGCACUAUUAGGAGGCAUGGCCUUGUUGGAGGAAGUGUGUCACUGUGAGUGUGGGCUUUGAGGUCUCCUUUGCUCAAGCUACACUCAGUGUGGCAGACUCCUCCUGCAGAUUGUGGAUCAAGAUGUAGACCUCUUAGUUCCAUCUCCAACACCAUAUCUGCCUGCACACCGCCAUGUUUCCCACCAUGAUGAUAAGAGACUGAACCUCCGAGACUGUCAGCCAGCCCCAAUUAAAUGUUUUCCUUUAUAAGAGUUGUUGUGGUCAUGGUGUCUCUUCACAGCAAUAGAAACCCUAAGACAGUGUUCUUUGUUACUGUUCCUUACCUCCCCUGCCAAGAGGAGCCAGCAUCAGCUCAACAAUCAUGGUGAUCUGUUACCUGGUCUUCUGGUGUCUAAUUGUCCUCUUUAGCCUCAAAAGAAGCUUUCUCUUGCCCCAGGACUUCUGCACAUGCCACUCUAUUUACCUCAAAUGCUCACACCCCUCUUUCCGUGCUUUUUGCCUACCUAACUCAUGCAUCCCUUAGGACACGUCUUAAAGCAUGUUUUCCAGGGGACUGCAGGUGCAUUUGUUAGUCCUCCUUGUAGCUUCCCUCUGUUGUGACAUGAACCUCUCCUGCCCGUCACCCAGGGCAGACGCGUCCUCGUGAGUGUUCGCUUGACUCAGCACUCUAGCUUGACUACCUGGCAUGGUACCUGGCAUGUUUGUGAAUGACAGAAUUAGUCUACUUGUUCAUUCAGGAAAUUUUUCAUUGCAUAAGGAAAACAAUAGUUAAUCAAACAGACCAAAAAAAAAAAAAAAAAAAAAAAAAGAAGGAAAUCCCUUACCACUACACGCUGAGAGUCUAGCAAAGAAUUCACUGGUGUGCUGGAAUCAGCUCAUCCAGAAGAGUUGACAAGUAUUUCUUCCCAACGCUGCAUCCCACGAGCUACACUGCUAGCUUGAAAUGGCCAUGGUGGGAGUGUUUGUACCAGGGAAAUUGGCAGACACUCUGAGCAAGAGCCUUUCCAUCUAGAAGCACAUCACUGAUGAGGGACCAACAACACGAUCUUGUAAGGGAGUCAGGAGUGUUUAAGGGCGUCACUUUAAACAAUGUGAUGAAAAAAGUGGUUUUGCUGAGGUGACUUUGUGUAAAGACCUGAAGAGAUGAUGUAGACACAGCCAUGAGGGAGUCACCACUGGCGCACGGCAGUUGUCUCUCCAGGAAAGCCAGGGGUGAGGCAAGCAGGUGGACUGUCAUCUUUGGAAGCAAGCCUGGCCCUAGCUGGGGGACUUCAGCAAAUGGCCUUCAAGAAACAGUUUUCAUGAAGAUGUGAAAUAACGGAGUGUACACAGCACCGUCUGUGCAGAGUUAAAGGGGCCAAUAACAGAGGGAGAAGCAUGUGGUCCAGAGUGGGCGUGACAAACGCCAGUCUCUUCAUUUCCUGUCUUGAGGCAGGAUGGAGAAAGGUCUGCAUGACACAGGCAUGACCUUAAAAACAAGAUUUGCCUAAGUCACAAUUCCAUGAAGACAGUUUCGUUUUAUUGGGUACUUAGGGAUGCUUCAGACAUGGAUAUUACAUUUACAAAAUAUUUUAAAAGUAUCUCUGGCUAAGUUUGGCUUGCUAAAUUGGUCAGAUACAGCAACAACUGGCAUUUUGAAGCUUAUAAUAAACGAUCUGGCCAAAUUCAAGCUCCACCUUGCCAGGGGGCAACUAUUAGAACACAGCUUCGGUCAGCAAAACUAGCUUGUCUCUCAUUGGUCCUGGAGAAUUUUACUGGACCGGCUGACUGCAAGUGCAGGUGAAAUCAAUUAGUAAGGGCGUGUUAUGAGUCUCCCCAGAGGGUCACAUGCACCCUGGGUUUAAGUUCCCUUCAUUCAUAUCCAAAUCUUAAUGCUGGGUCUCAGCCCAGGGAACUUGGGAUGUGCAUCUCCUUAGUCGGAGGAGGGGAGCCUGAGGCAGAGGCUGUGGCUGCUUGGCUCACGC